CCUACGGGAGGCUGCAGUGGGGAAUAUUGCGCAAUGGGCGAAAGCCUGACGCAGCGACGCCGCGUGCGGGAUGAAGGUCUUCGGAUCGUAAACCUCUGUCAGCAGGGAAGAACGGUCACUGUGCUAAUCAGCAGUGAAUUGACGGUACCUGCAAAGGAAGCACCGGCUAACUCCGUGCCAGCAGCCGCGGUAAUACGGAGGGUGCGAGCGUUAAUCGGAAUUACUGGGCGUAAAGCGCUCGUAGGCGGUAUGUCAAGUCAAGGGUGAAAUCCCCGGGCUCAACGUGGGAACUGCCUUUGAAACUGGCAAACUGGAGUGUGUGAGAGGUUAGUGGAAUUCCAGGUGUAGGAGUGAAAUGCGUAGAUAUCUGGAGGAACAUCAGUGGCGAAGGCGACUAUCUGGCACAUAACUGACGCUGAGGAGCGAAAGCGUGGGUAGCAAACAGGAUUAGAUACCCGGGUAGUC
rnacentral:rRNA from 1 species